GAUGAAGAACGCAGCGAAAUGCGAUAACUAAUGUGAAUUGCAGAAUUCAGUGAAUCAUCGAAUCUUUGAACGCACAUUGCGCCCGCCAGUAUUCUGGCGGGCAUGCCUGUUCGAGCGUCAUUUCAACCAUCAAGCCCCAGGCUUGUGUUGGGGACCUGCGGCUGCCGCAGGCCCUGAAAACCAGUGGCGGGCUCGCUGUCACACCGGGCGUAGUAGAUUUUAUCUCGCUCAGGGCGUGCUGCGGGUUCCGGCCGUUAAAAAGCCUUUUUUACCCAAGGUUGACCUCGGAUCAGGUAGGAAGACCCGCUGAACUUAAGCAUAUCAAUAAGCGGAGGA
rnacentral:misc_RNA from 1 species